CUGAUCUGAAGUGAUCUGCCCACCUCGGCUUCCCAAAGUGCUGGGAUUACAGGCGUGAGCCACUGCGCCUGGCCCCUUCAGGUGGGUAUUGAGGCUUCACUACAAUACUAGUUCCCCGUUGCUGCCGCAAUAAAUUACCACACACUUAGUGGCUUAAAACAGCACAGAGGUAUUCCUUUACAUUUCUGAAGGCCAGAAUUCUAAAGUCAGUCCCACUGAGUCAACGUGGGAGCAGGGUCAGUGCCUUCCCAGGCUCUGCGGGAGAAUCUGUUUCCUGGCCCUGGAGGCGGCCUGUACUCCUCAGCUUGUGCUGCCCUUCUCGAAUGACUCGCGUUUCCUGCUUUCAUCACUACACCUCCCACCGCUCUCCAUCACCUGCUCUGCUCUUAUAAGGAUCCAGUUUUCAGAAAAAUGGAAUAGUCGUAUCACUGAUCUACGUAAACAAGUUGAAGAAUUGUCUGAAAGAAAAUACAGUGUGUCUAAACUGGAAAAGUCCUGUAAUAGUUUGUUCAUGAGCAUUUACACAAUGGAGUUGCUGUUUCAUCAUGGGGGUACUGUGGACAAACCCAGGGCUGCUGACAUGAACUUAUGAAUUCAACACAUGAAGAUUUACAGCUUGACAAACCAGCUUCAGGAGGGAUUGUGCUGCAUUCGAACAUAGGUUCUGCCAUCAAACACAGAAUGCCCUGAUCCUUAGAGGCAGAGGCAGCUCUUCAGCCUAUGGGCUCAAGCUGUUGGACUCGCCGAGGCAGUAAAAGUACCAUAUCCUGUGUUUGAAUCAAACUCCAAUUUCCUGUAUAUAGAAGGCUUGCCAGACAGGAUUCCCUUCCGAAGCCCUACCUGGUUUGGAAUUCCAUGACUUGAAAGGAUCCUUCGUGGGAGUAAUAAAAUCAAGUUUGUUGUUAAAAACUUUGCAGUCCCCAAAAAAACCAUGAAGCCCUGAGAGUAAUGAAAAGCUUCCUGACAUUGAGGUCACUGUGGAAGAACCACCUAAGCUAAAGAUUCUUUUGAGAACAAGGGCUAGCCUGUGGUUUCAUGGCCUUUCUUCCAUUUGGGGUUCUUGCCAAGUGGAAUUUAAAUGACCUCUUAUCAAGAUGGAUAAACCCAAGUUUCCCAGUGCUGGAAUACAGAAAAUGGAUGGACAAGAUGUCUUUUUGUCACUUCCAGCUGGAUCUACCAUGAAAGACGUCAGAGUCCAGGAAGAGAGACUGACUGGGCAACAUGUUAUUCAGAAUUAGAGAAGAUGAUGUGGUGAUGGAAGAAGAGGUCAGAGAGGGAGAUUUGAAGAUGUUGCAGUUCUGGCCUUCAAGAUGGAGUCAGGGGCUAUCUUCAAGAGAGAAGAUCUUGAUCUGUGGCCCAGGCUGCAGUACAGU
rnacentral:lncRNA from 1 species